rnacentral:rRNA from 1 species
AGAGCGAACGCUGGCGGCAGGCCUAAUACAUGCAAGUCGAGCGGUCCCUUCGGGGGCAGCGGCGGACGGGUGAGUAACGCGUGGGAACGUGCCCUUUGGUACGGAACAACUGAGGGAAACUUCAGCUAAUACCGUAUACGCCCUACGGGGGAAAGAUUUAUCGGAAUUAGAUGAGCCCGCGUAAGAUUAGCUAGUUGGUGGGGUAAUGGCCUACCAAGGCGACGAUCUUAGCUGGUCUGAGAGGAUGAUCAGCCACACUGGACUGAGACACGGCCCAGACUCGUACGGGAGCAGCAGUGGGAAUAUGGACAAUGGCGCAAG